rnacentral:lncRNA from 1 species
GGGAGCUCUAUCAGGCCAAGUGAAAAACAUUUUCUCUUGAACUCUCUCUACAGAGAGAGUGUAGAUGGAAAGGACUAAGGAGAAAAAUGAAUGCAUUUUCCAUGCUAGCAGUUGGUGUCUGGAUCACUCUGGACUUAUGUCCAAGGUUCUCCCAGCAGGACCUGCCCUCAGACAGGCUGUCUGGUCAGCACUCUAUUCCAAGAGAAAAAAAAAAAAAAC